rnacentral:pre_miRNA from 1 species
AAUAAGUGCAAUUUUGAACUGACAUUAACCGUCCGUUUUAUUUGAAAAAAAUUAUGAUUAGUAUUUUUAUCGCUAUUAGAUGAUAAAACAUAAACAGUUUUUCAUAUGUGACUAUUUUUUUAAUUUUUUUACAAAUUUUUCAAAUAAGAUAGACGAUCAAACGGAUAUCAACGGUUAAUCUUAUU